rnacentral:rRNA from 1 species
GAUGAACGCUAGCGGCAGGCUUAAUACAUGCAAGUCGAGGGGCAGCGCAGUGUAGCAAUACAUGGGCGGCGACCGGCAAACGAGUGCGGAACACGUACGCAAUCUACCCAAAACUGAUGAAUAGCCCUCCGAAAGGAGGAUUAAUACAUCGUAACUUAAUGAAGUGGCAUCGCUUUAUUAAUAUAGCUCCGGCGGUUUUGGAUGAGCGUGCGCCUGAUUAGGUAGUUGGCGGGGUAACGGCCCACCCAAGCCUACGAUCAGUAACUGGUGUGAGAGCACGACCAGUCACACGGGCACUGAGACACGGGCCCGACCUCCUACGGGAGGCAGCAGUAAGGAAUAUUGGUCAAUGGACGCAAGU